rnacentral:rRNA from 1 species
GUGAGGAAUAUUGGACAAUGGGCGCAAGCCUGAUCCAGCCAUGCCGCGUGCAGGAAGACGCAUCUAUGGUGUGUAAACUGCUUUUGUACGGGAAGAAACACUCCCUCGUGAGGGAGCUUGACGGUACCGUAAGAAUAAGGAUCGGCUAACUCCGUGCCAGCAGCCGCGGUAAUACGGAGGAUCCAAGCGUUAUCCGGAAUCAUUGGGUUUAAAGGGUCCGUAGGCGGUUUAAUAAGUCAGUGGUAAAAGCCCAUCGCUCAACGAUGGAACGGCCAUUGAUACUGUUAGACUUGAAUUACAAGGAAGUAACUAGAAUAUGUAGUGUAGCGGUGAAAUGCUUAGAUAUUACAUGGAAUACCAAUUGCGAAGGCAGGUUACUACUUGUGGAUUGACGCUGAUGGACGAAAGCGUGGGGAGCGAACAGGAUUAGAUACCCCAGUAGUCC